UAUUCCCCACUGCUGCCUCCCGUAGGAGUCUGGACCGUGUCUCAGUUCCAGUGUGACUGAUCAUCCUCUCAGACCAGUUACGGAUCGUCGCCUUGGUGAGCCUUUACCUCACCAACUAGCUAAUCCGACCUAGGCUCAUCUGAUAGCGUGAGGUCCGAAGAUCCCCCACUUUCUCCCGUAGGACGUAUGCGGUAUUAGCGUUCCUUUCGAAACGUUGUCCCCCACUACCAGGCAGAUUCCUAGGCAUUACUCACCCGUCCGCCGCUGAAUCAUGGAGCAAGCUCCACUCAUCCGCUCGACUUGCAUGUGUUAGGCCUGCCGCCAGCGUUCAUCCUGAGCCAA
rnacentral:rRNA from 1 species